AGUGAACGCUGGCGGUAGGCCUAACACAUGCAAGUCGAACGGCAGCACAGUAAGAGCUUGCUCUUACGGGUGGCGAGUGGCGGACGGGUGAGGAAUACAUCGGAAUCUACUUUUUCGGGGGGGAUAACGUAGGGAAACUUACGCUAAUACCGCAUACGACCUACGGGUGAAAGCAGGGGAUCUUCGGACCUUGCGCGAUUGAAUGAGCCGAUGUCGGAUUAGCUAGUUGGCGGGGUAAAGGCCCACCAAGGCGACGAUCCGUAGCUGGUCUGAGAGGAUGAUCAGCCACACUGGAACUGAGACACGGUCCAGACUCCUACGGGAGGCAGCAGUGGGGAAUAUUGGACAAUGGGCGCAAGCCUGAUCCAGCCAUACCGCGUGGGUGAAGAAAGCCUUCGGGUUGUAAAGCCCUUUUGUUGGGAAAGAAAAGCAGCAGGUUAAUACCCCGCUGUUCUGACGGUACCCAAAGAAUAAGCACCGGCUAACUUCGUG
rnacentral:rRNA from 1 species